CACAAUUAGGUGUUUUGCUACUAUUGCUGGAAUGAUGGCUUUGCUGUUCCCAGAAACCCUGGGAGAACCAUUACCAGAAACCAUUGAGGAUGCUGCUAGAAUUGGUAAAAAUACCUCUCGUGGUCUUUGCCAGUGUACCUGCAUAUCCCCUUUCUCUAUGUACAAGGAAGAGUUGAAAAAUGUUGAGGUGUAGAGUUCAUCUUAUUGAAUCUUUGCUCUCUAAGGAAGGAUUAAGAAGUUAUAAAAGAAAUAAAGAACAGAACGAUAGUUGGAGAUUCGUCAAAAUUAAAAACUUUUUACCUGUAAUAUGAUGUUAUAGAAAUUUUUUUUUUAAAUUCAGAAUUUUAUUUCAAAAUAUAAAUUCUGCUAGAUCUGUUACAAUAUAAGUCUUAUUAUGAAAAGUUUACACUAUCAGGUGGCAAAGAUACAGGGAUUAGUAAAGAGUUUCGAUAAGUUUACACACAUAUAUCUCUGUACUCGACGAACA